rnacentral:rRNA from 1 species
AUUGAACGCUGGCGGCAGGCCUAACACAUGCAAGUCGAGCGAGCGGCGGACGGGUGAGUAAUGUCUGGGAAUCUGCCCGAUGGCGGGGGAUAACUACUGGAAACGGUAGCUAAUACCGCAUACCAUCGGAUGUACCCAGAUGGGAUUAGCUUGUAGGUGAGGUAACGGCUCACCUAGGCGACGAUCCCUAGCUGGUCUGAGAGGAUGACCAGCCACACUGGAACUGAGACACGGGCCAGACUCCUACGGGAGGCAGCAGUGGGGAAUAUUGCACAAUGGGCGCAAGCCUGAUGCAGCCAUGCCGCGUGUAUGAAGAAGGCCUUCGGGUUGUAAAGUACUUUCAGUCGGGAGGCGUUACUCACAGAAGAAGCACCGGCUAACUCCGUGCCAGCAGCCGCGGUAAUUC